CCUACGGGUGGCAGCAGUGGGGAAUUUUGGACAAUGGGCGCAAGCCUGAUCCAGCUAUUCCGCGUGUGGGAAGACGGCCUUCGGGUUGUAAACCACUUUUGUCGAGGACGAAAAGUCUAUUGUUAAUACCGAUCGACGCUGACGUUACUCUCAGAAUAAGCACCGGCUAACUACGUGCCAGCAGCCGCGGUAAUACGUAGGGUGCGAGCGUUAAUCGGAAUUACUGGGCGUAAAGGGUGUGCAGGCGGUUGUGCAAGAUGGAUGUGAAAGCCCCGGGCUUAACCUGGGAAAGCCAUACAUGACUGGAAGACUAGAGUGUGUCAGAGGGGGGUAGAAUUCCAAGUGUAGCAGUGAAAUGCGUAGAUAUGUGGAAGAACACCGAUGGCGAAGGCAGCCCCCUGGGACGCAACUGACGCUCAUACACGAAAGCGUGGGGAGCAAACAGGAUUAGAUACCCCUGUAGUC
rnacentral:rRNA from 1 species